GUAGGUGGCGAGCGUUAUCCGGAAUGAUUGGGCGUAAAGGGUGCGUAGGUGGCAGAUCAAGUCUGGAGUAAAAGGUAUGGGCUCAACCCGUACUGGCUCUGGAAACUGAUCAGCUAGAGAACAGAAGAGGACGGCGGAACUCCAUGUGUAGCGGUAAAAUGCGUAGAUAUNUGGAAGAACACCGGUGGCGAAGGCGGCCGUCUGGUCUGGUUCUGNCACUGAAGCACGAAAGCGUGGGGNGCAAAUNGGAUUAGAUACCCUAGUAGUCCACGCCGUANACGAUGAGAACUNGGUGUUGGGGGAANUAACUCNGUGCCGCNGUUANCGCAGUANGUUCUCCGCCUGGGGANGU
rnacentral:rRNA from 1 species